rnacentral:tRNA from 1 species
UUUCCUAGAAUAAUCAAAAG